AUUGAACGCUGGCGGCAUGCCUUACACAUGCAAGUCGAACGGUAACAGGUUAAGCUGACGAGUGGCGAACGGGUGAGUAAUGUAUCGGAACGUGCCCAGUCGUGGGGGAUAACUGCUCGAAAGAGCAGCUAAUACCGCAUACGACCUGAGGGUGAAAGCGGGGGAUCGCAAGACCUCGCGCGAUUGGAGCGGCCGAUAUCAGAUUAGGUAGUUGGUGAGGUAAAGGCUCACCAAGCCGACGAUCUGUAGCUGGUCUGAGAGGACGACCAGCCACACUGGGACUGAGACACGGCCCAGACUCCUACGGGAGGCAGCAGUGGGGAAUUUUGGACAAUGGGCGCAAGCCUGAUCCAGCCAUGCCGCGUGAGGGAAGAAGGCCUUCGGGUUGUAAACCGAUUUUGUCAGGGAAGAAAAGGUUCUGGCUAAUACCUGGGACUCAUGACGGUACCUGAAGAAUAAGCACCGGCUAACUACGUG
rnacentral:rRNA from 1 species